rnacentral:rRNA from 1 species
UACGAAGGGGGCUAGCGUUGCUCGGAAUCACUGGGCGUAAAGGGCGCGUAGGCGGGUCUUCAAGUUUGGGGUGAAAUCCUCCGGCUCAACCGGAGAACUGCCUCGGAUACUGGGCGUCUCGAGUGUGGUAGGGGUAUGCGGAACUAUCGGUGGAGCGGUGAAAUGCGUUGAUAUCGAUAGGAACUCCGGUGGCGAAGGCGGCAUACUGGACCACCACUGACGCUGAUGCGCGAAAGCCAGGGGAGCAAACGGG